AGCGAACGCUGGCGGCAGGCUUAACACAUGCAAGUCGAGCGGGCAUCUUCGGAUGUCAGCGGCAGACGGGUGAGUAACACGUGGGAACGUACCCUUCGGUUCGGAACAACUCUGGGAAACUGGAGCUAAUACCGGAUACGCCCUUAUGGGGAAAGGUUUACUGCCGAAGGAUCGGCCCGCGUCUGAUUAGCUAGUUGGUUGGGUAUCGGCCUACCAAGGCGACGUUCAGUAGCUGGUCUGAGAGGAUGAUUAGCCACGAUGGGAAUGAGACACGGACCAGACUCGUACGGGAGGCAGCGGUGGGGAAUAUUAGACAAUGGGCGCAAGUCUGACCCAGCCAUGCGGCGUGAAUGAUGAAGGCCUUAGGGUUGUAAAGCUCUUUUGUCCGGGACGAGAAUGACGGUACCGGAAGAAUAAGCCCCGGCUAACUUCGUG
rnacentral:rRNA from 1 species